rnacentral:rRNA from 1 species
UAAUACGUAGGGUGCAAGCGUUGCUCGGAAUUACUGGGCGUAAAGGGAGCGCAGGCGGUUUUGUAUGUCGCAGGUGAAAUACUCCGGCUUAACUGGAGAAACGCCUGCGAAACUGCAGGACUAGAGGACAGGAGAGGUGGACGGAAUUCCCGGUGUAGCGGUGAAAUGCGUAGAUAUCGGGAGGAACGCCGAAGGCGAAGGCAAUCCACUGGACUGUUCCUGACGCUCAUGCUCGAAAGCUAGGGGAUCAAACGGG